rnacentral:lncRNA from 1 species
CGGUAAAUAAUUUUUGUAGCAUAAAAGCUAAAUAAAUUCAUACAUACUGUAAUACAGAUAACCAAAGUAUAAAAUUUAAUUUACAAUGACACGUGGGCCCAUGAACGACCAAAAGUAUUAAAAGUAGUAAACCUAUAGUUUUUUAGGAUGCAAAUCCAAUGGUGGUCCUCGAUGAAAUCAGCUAUAUAUAGACUAUCCUAAGCUUGAAAUUGGUGAAAAGGAGGGUGGUGAGAUUAUAAAAUCCUAGUGAGUAAACAAAUACCAUUUAGAGUAUCUAAAGCCAAGUAAAUAGAGAUAGAUAAAAUAAUUUAACAUACUGUAAUUCAUCACCUUUCAACUCAUUUCAAUCAAAUAAAAUCAAUUCAUAUAAAUCGAGUAAUCAACAUGGCUUAUGAAUUUCUUAAAACUUUGGCUCGUGCCAAAAUCAUUUUUAUACCCAGUUAUCAGGGAUGCCCUGAUCGAGGGCUAUCCCAACCGAGUCCGCCAAGGCUGUAAAAAGUUAUGUAUGCAUAAAUCAUGUUUUUAUUUUGAAAACAUAGCUGUUCCUUGGCGUUGGCUGAGUUCCCCCUCACGUGGUGGUUUGACGUGUAGUGAACUCUAAAAGUUAUACCUCGGGAGUUACCCUACUCGCCUCUCUAACCGAGGUAAGAAUAUGACCAGGUUCUGUGCCCCUCUAAUAGGCUAGUCCACAGAACCAGCCCACUGCAGCAAGUUAAACCCACCAUACAAUAAAAAUUCAACAGCAUGACAUGGUAAUUUUAUCAUUAUCUAGCCUAUCAAGGCAAACAACAGCUUAUACAUUUCAACACAAAUACCAAUUCAGCCAUUCAUGCCAAUAUUUCCAUAAGCCAAUCAAUUAGAACCAUAAAUUCACAAUACAUCAAAUGGUCUCUAAUUACUCUAUUUUCAAAGUCAUCUUUCAAUUUCAAGACCAUUUAUGAAGUCAUUUUAUUUAAACACAUUUUGUUUAUAAAUUCUAAAAAUUUACCAUUUAAACUCAUUUUUCAUAAAAUCACAAAAUCGGAAAAAAACCACUCUAGAUAAUUAAGACGAUAGUAAGGUUACUCACAAUGUUUAGAGUGUAGAUUUUCGAAGUACUAUGACUACUGGUCCUCGGAUGCAAUUUACUUGCCUUUAUCGGAGGACUCACCACCUUGACAUAGUACAAAAUCGAGAAACUUACUACAUUGGUACUAAAUCAAAAUUAAACUAAUUUAGACUACUAAUGCAUGAUAUGGAAUGCAAAAUGCACGUGUAACCAUUUAAACCCGGUAUUGACCUAAUUCGUCUUAUCACCCGAUUAAUUGGCCAACGCGUCCAAUUUAGCUCCAAAUUGCUCCAUAUCUUUUCCAAUACCUUAAUUCACCAAACACAAGUCAAAUAACCUAAAAUUUGGCAAAACCAUCUUCACUUUUCUUCUUAGGAUUUUUGGUCAAUAAUGGUGCAUUAACACCGUGAUUUUUCUUACUACUUUUCCACACCAUAAUUCAUCAUUUUCUAACCAAUUCUCUUAAAAUAAAAAAUCAAAUUCAUCCUCACUCAAUACAAGGUAGGUUCAGCCAUUGAUGGGUGAUGGGGAAAAUGAAUUCUUUUCUUGUUGUUUUGCUUCUAGACAUGGUAAACUAACUAAAAACACUAACAUAACUUGAAAUCAAAUCAAUCCAACAUCAUUCUCUCUCCAUACCCAUUCAGCUAGCCAUGAAUUCACCAUGAAAACAUGAAAUUUAACCAUGGAAAAUAAGGAGAAAUGCUUAAGGAAAAUAGAUUUCAAGUUUAAAUUGAGAAAUCCUACCUUUUUCACUUGUUUUCCUUGAUUUUUCACACUUUUUCUCUUGAAAUUCUCCACCUAGGGUUUGUUCUUUCUUUGUUUCCCUUUGUUCUUGCUAUGGC